rnacentral:rRNA from 1 species
CCUACGGGAGGCAGCAGUGGGGGAUAUUGCACAAUGGGGGAAACCCUGAUGCAGCGACGCCGCGUGUGGGAAGACGGUCCUCUGGAUUGUAAACCACUGUCCCCAGGGACGAAGAUGACGGUACCUGGGGAGGAAGCUCCGGCUAACUACGUGCCAGCAGCCGCGGUAAUACGUAGGGAGCGAGCGUUGUCCGGAAUUACUGGGUGUAAAGGGAGCGUAGGCGGGACUGCAAGUUGGGUGUCAAAUCUACCGGCUCAACCGGUAGCCGCACUCAAAACUGCAGUUCUUGAGUGAAGUAGAGGCAGGCGGAAUUCCUAGUGUAGCGGUGAAAGGCGUAGAUAUUAGGAGGAACACCAGUGGCGAAGGCGGCCUGCUGGGCUUUUACUGACGCUGAGGCUCGAAAGUGUGGGGAGCAAACAGGAUUAGAUACCCCGGUAGUC